GCCCUGUCAGGGCUGGGGCUGGGGCGGAGCCUGCAACCAAGGAAAUGCACUCCAAGUACUAAGGGAUGAAUGGACAUCAGACCUGCAACUUACUCUCCAAUAGAGAGACGGAAAAGUCAAGCCAAUGUGGUAAAAUAUACACAAUGGAGAGUCUGGGUAUAUGGGAGUUCUCUGUACUAUUCUGGCAAUAUAUUAUAACCUUUAAAUUAUUUCAAAAUAAAAAUAAGCUUUGUAAUCCA